rnacentral:rRNA from 1 species
CUGCUGCCUUCCGUAGGAGUCUGGGCCGUGUCUCAGUCCCAAUGUGGCCGGCCAACCUCUCAGUCCGGCUACUGAUCGUCGCCUUGGUGGGCCGUUACCCCGCCAACUAGCUAAUCAGACGCGAGUCCAUCUCAGAGCGAUAAAUCUUUGGCAGUCAGAGCCAUGCGACUCAACUGCAUCAUGAGGUAUUAGCAGCUGUUUCCAACUGUUAUUCCCCACUCCAAGGCAGGUUAC